AGAAUGCAUAUUAAUUAUCCCUGGGCCAUGGAAUAAACAAAAACCCUAUAAAAACAAGUUGGAACACCCUAGAAUGGUUCUAGCAUGAUUGCUAACCUAUGACUCUGAUACUAGUUGAAGGAAAAACUC
rnacentral:pre_miRNA from 1 species